AUAAAUCUCUGUAUGACGAAACAAGUUUGGCUCAAGUAAAAAUACCAUUACAAUAACAAAGAAUUAAACGAACACGUGAAAACAUUUUUCAUAGAUAGUUGGAAUUUAUCUGAUGGGAUUGAACAAGCAAUUUAUUCACCGGGCGAAUAUUGUAAAUCACGUUGUGAGUAAUAGUAUAAAUAAAUAAAAAUAUUUCUUUAUAAAUUUUAAAUAUGCUUAUUUAAUAUAAUAAUAUGCAUUCCUAUCAAUAUAAUAUCUU